GACAGAGGGUGCAAACGUUGUUCGGAAUUACUGGGCGUAAAGCGCGUGUAGGCGGCCCUGCAAGUCGGGUGUGAAAUCCCACGGCUCAACCGUGGAAGUGCACUCGAAACUGCAGGGCUAGAGUCCUGGAGAGGAAGGUGGAAUGCUUGGUGUAGAGGUGAAAUUCGUAGAUAUCAAGCGAAGCACCGGUGGCGAAGGCGGCCAUCGUGGACGGUAACGUGACGCUGAGACGCGAAAGCGUGGGUAGCAAACGAGGA
rnacentral:rRNA from 1 species